rnacentral:lncRNA from 1 species
ACUGGGAAGAAUUAGAAGAGCCAAAGCAAGUUGUUUAUAAAGAAAAUGAUUUUGGUUCCAAGAAUAGCGAUGAUUUGGAAAAAAAAUAAUGAUUAUGAGGACUCAGAAGAAUUAGACGAGCCAGAUGAUUCGGAAAAAAUAAUGAUUAUGAGGACUCAGAAGAAUUAGACGAGCCAGAGCAAGUUGUUUAUAAAGAAAAUGAUUUUGGUUCCAAGAAUAGUGAUGAUUCGGAAAAAAUAAUGAUUCUGAGGACUUGGAAGAAUUAGAAGAGCCAAAGCAAGUUGUUUAUAAAGAAAAUAAUUUUGGUUCCAAGAAUAGCGAUGAUUUGGAAAAAAAUAAUGAUUCUGAGGACUCGGAAGAAUUAGAAGAGCCAAAGCAAGUUGUUUAUAAAGAAAAUGAUUUUGGUUCCGAGAAUAGCGACGAUACGGAAAAAAAUAAUGAUUCUGAGGACUCAAGGAAAAAAAUAAUGAUUCUGAGGACUCAAGAAUUGAGGGGGUCCAGAAAUAAUUACUU